AUUGAACGCUGGCGGCAUGCCUUACACAUGCAAGUCGAACGGCAGCACGGGUGCUUGCACCUGGUGGCGAGUGGCGAACGGGUGAGUAAUACAUCGGAACGUACCUUAUCGUGGGGGAUAACGCAGCGAAAGCUGUGCUAAUACCGCAUACGCCCUGAGGGGGGAAGCGGGGGAUCGCAAGACCCCGCCCCAUUAGGGCGGCCGAUGCCUGAUUAGCUUGUUUGUGGGGUAAAAGCCCACCAAGGCGACGAUCAGGAGCUGGUCUGAGAGGACGAUAAGCCACACUGGGACUGAGACACGGCCCAGACUCCUACGGGAGGCAGCAGUGGGGAAUUUUGGACAAUGGGGGCAACCCUGAUCCGGCAAUGCCGCGUGAGUGAAGAAGGCCUUCGGGUUGUAAAGCUCUUUUGUCAGGGAAGAAACACCGGCUCUAACACAGUCCGGGAAAGACGGUACCUGAAGAAUAAGCACCGGCUAACUACGUGCCAGCAGCCGCAGUAA
rnacentral:rRNA from 1 species